UGGCUCAGAGGUUGAAGCAUCUGCCUGCAAUGCAGGAGACCCAGGUUCAAUCCCUGG
rfam:Ovis aries breed Texel chromosome 6, whole genome shotgun sequence.